rnacentral:rRNA from 1 species
UACGUAGGGUGCGAGCGUUAAUCGGAAUUACUGGGCGUAAAGUGUGCGCAGGCGGCAGAGCAAGUCGAGUGUGAAAGCCCCGGGCUCAACCUGGGAACUGCCUUUGUGACUGCAUGACUAGAGUACGGUAGAGGGGGAUGGAAUUCCGCGUGUAGCAGUGAAAUGCGUAGAUAUGCGGAGGAACACCGAUGGCGAAGGCAAUCCCCUGGACCUGUACUGACGCUCAUGCACGAAAAGCGUGGGGAGCAAACGGG